AAACAAGUAUUCUUAAUUGGCUAUGCGCUUUGGCAGUGUGGUUAGCUGGUUGUGUAGCCAAUUAUUGCCGUUGACAAUUCACAGCCACUAUCUUCACUGCCGCCGCGACAAGCUAAAGCAACUUAUAAAGGACA
rnacentral:precursor_RNA from 15 species